rnacentral:rRNA from 1 species
UCGGGAAUUUUGGGCAAUGGGCGAAAGCCUGACCCAGCAACGCCGCGUGAGGGAUGAAGUAUUUCGGUAUGUAAACCUCGAAAGAAUGGGAAGAAUAAAUGACGGUACCAUUUAUAAGCUCCGGCUAACUACGUGCCAGCAGCCGCGGUAAUACGUAGGGAGCAAGCGUUGUUCGGAUUUACUGGGCGUAAAGGGCGCGUAGGCGGCGCGGUAAGUCACUUGUGAAAUCUCUGAGCUUAACUCAGAACGGCCAAGUGAUACUGCUGUGCUAGAGUGCGGAAGAGGCAACCGGAAUUCUUGGUGUAGCGGUGAAAUGCGUAGAUAUCAAGAGGAACACCCGAGGCGAAGGCGGGUUGCUGGGCCGACACUGACGCUGAUGCGCGAAAGCCAGGGGAGCAAAC